UACGAAGGGGGCUAGCGUUGUUCGGAUUUACUGGGCGUAAAGCGCACGUAGGCGGUUUGUUAAGUCAGGGGUGAAAUCCCGGAGCUCAACUCCGGAACUGCCUUUGAUACUGGCAAGCUAGAGUCCGGAAGAGGUAAGUGGAACUCCUAGUGUAGAGGUGGAAUUCGUAGAUAUUAGGAAGAACACCAGUGGCGAAGGCGGCUUACUGGUCCGGAACUGACGCUGAGGUGCGAAAGCGUGGGGAGCAAACAGGAUUAGAAACCCCCGUAGUCC
rnacentral:rRNA from 1 species